rnacentral:misc_RNA from 1 species
GAUGAAGAACGUAGCGAAAUGCGAUAAGUAAUGUGAAUUGCAGAAUUCAGUGAAUCAUCGAAUCUUUGAACGCACAUUGCGCCCGCCAGUAUUCUGGCGGGCAUGCCUGUUCGAGCGUCAUUUCAACCAUCAAGCCCCAGGCUUGUGUUGGGGACCUGCGGCUGCCGCAGGCCCUGAAAACCAGUGGCGGGCUCGCUGUCACACCGGGCGUAGUAGAUUUUAUCUCACUCAGGGCGUGCUGCGGGUUCCGGCCGUUAAAAAGCCUUUUUUACCCAAGGUUGACCUCGGAUCAGGUAGGAAGACCCGCUGAACUUAAGCAUAUCAAUAAGCGGAGGA